rnacentral:rRNA from 1 species
GACGUAGGGCGCGAGCGUUGUCCGGAUUUAUUGGGCGUAAAGAGCUCGUAGGCGGCUUGUCGCGUCGACUGUGAAAACCCGCGGCUCAACUGUGGGCUUGCAGUCGAUACGGGCAGGCUGGAGUUCGGUAGGGGAGACUGGAAUUCCUGGUGUAGCGGUGAAAUGCGCAGAUAUCAGGAGGAACACCGGUGGCGAAGGCAGCUCGCUGGGACGUUACUGACACUGAGGCGCGAAAGCGUGGGGAGCGAACAGG